rnacentral:rRNA from 1 species
GACGAACCGAGCGAACGUUGUUCGGAAUCACUGGGCUUAAAGGGCGCGUAGGCGGGCAUCAUAGUCUGUGGUGAAAUCCGGCAGCUUAACUGUCGAAUUGCCAUGGAUACUGGGUGUCUCGAGGGAGGCAGGGGUGCGCGGAACUGAUGGUGGAGCGGUGAAAUGCGUUGAUAUCAUCAGGAACGCCGGUGGCGAAGGCGGCGCACUGGUCCUUUUCUGACGCUGAGGCGCGAAAGCCAGGGGAGCAAACGGG